UACGAAGGGGGCUAGCGUUGCUCGGAAUCACUGGGCGUAAAGCGACCGCAGGCGGCCUGACAAGUCGGAUGUGAAAGCCCUGGGCUCAACUCAGGAAUUGCAUUCGAAACUGGUAGGCUCGAGUACGGGAGAGGGGGGUGGAAUUCCUGGUGUAGGGGUGAAAUUCGUUGAUAUCAGGAGGAACACCGGCGGCGAAGGCGGCCCCCUGGCCCGCAACUGACGCUCAUGGUCGAAAGCGUGGGGAGCAAACAGG
rnacentral:rRNA from 1 species